GAAUCUUCCGCAAUGGACGAAAGUCUGACGGAGCAACGCCGCGUGAGUGAUGAAGGCCUUCGGGUCGUAAAACUCUGUUAUCAGGGAAGAACAAGUGCCGUUUAACUGUCGGCACCUUGACGGUACCUGACCAGACAGCCACGGCUAACUACGUGCCAGCAGCCGCGGUAAUACGUAGGUGGCAAGCGUUGUCCGGAAUUAUUGGGCGUAAAGCGCGCGCAGGCGGCUUCUUAAGUCUGAUGUGAAAGCCCACGGCUCAACCGUGGAGGGUCAUUGGAAACUGGGAGGCUUGAGUGCAGAAGAGGAGAGCGGAAUUCCACGUGUAGCGGUGAAAUGCGUAGAGAUGUGGAGGAACACCAGUGGCGAAGGCGGCUCUCUGGUCUGUAACUGACGCUGAGGCGCGAAAGCGUGGGUAGCGAAC
rnacentral:rRNA from 1 species